rnacentral:rRNA from 1 species
AAUAUUGCGCAAUGGAGGAAACUCUGACGCAGCGACGCCGCGUGAGCGAUGAAGGUCUUCGGUUCGUAUAGCUCUGUCCUUGGGGAAGAAGGUAGCCGUAAGGCUUCUUGACGGUACCCAUGGAUGAAGCCCCGGCUAACUACCCUCCAGCAGCCGCGGUAAUACGUAGGGGGCAAGCGUUGCCCGGAAUUAUUGGGCGUAAAGGGUGUGUAGGCGGCCCUUUAAGUCAGAUGUGAAAGCCCACGGCUUAACCGUGGGACUGCAUUUGAAACUGGAGGGCUUGAGUGUCGGAGAGGGCAGUGGAAUUCCCAGUGUAGCGGUGGAAUGCGUAGAUAUUGGGAGGAACACCAGUGGCGAAGGCGACUGCCUGGACGAUAACUGACGCUGAGGCACGAAAGCUAGGGGAGCAAAC